UACGUAGGUGGCAAGCGUUGUCCGGAUUUAUUGGGUUUAAAGGGUGCGUAGGCGGCUUUGUAAGUCAGUGGUGAAAUAUGGCAGCUCAACUGUCAGGGUGCCAUUGAUACUGCAGAGCUUGAGUACAGAUGAGGUAGGCGGAAUUGACGGUGUAGCGGUGAAAUGCUUAGAUAUCGUCAAGAACACCGAUAGCAGAGCAGCUUACUGGGCUGUAACUGACGCUGAGGCACGAAAGUGUGGGGAUCAAACAGG
rnacentral:rRNA from 1 species